CCUACGGGAGGCAGCAGUGAGGAAUAUUGGUCAAUGGGCGCGAGCCUGAACCAGCCAAGUAGCGUGAAGGAUGACUGCCCUACGGGUUGUAAACCUCUUUUAUAAGGGAAUAAAGUUGUCCACGUGUGCCUUUUUGCAUGUACCUUAUGAAUAAGGACCGGCUAAUUCCGUUCCAGCAGCCGCGGUAAUACGGAGGGUCCGGGCGUUAUCCGGAUUUAUUGGGUUUAAAGGGAGCGUAGACGGGUUGUUAAGUCAGUUGUGAAAGUUUGCGGCUCAACCGUAAAAUUGCAGUUGAUACUGGCAGUCUUGAGUGCAGUUGAGGUAGGCGGAAUUCGUGGUGUAGCGGUGAAAUGCUUAGAUAUCACGCAGAACUCCGAUUGCGAAGGCAGCUUACUAGACUGCCACUGACAUUGAUGCUCGAAAGUGUGGGUAUCAAACAGGAUUAGAUACCCCAGUAGUC
rnacentral:rRNA from 1 species